rnacentral:rRNA from 1 species
AUACGUAUGUCGCAAGCGUUAUCCGGAAUUAUUGGGCGUAAAGCGAGUCUAGGCGGCUUGUUAAGUCAGAUGUGAAAAUGCGGGGCUCAACUCCGUAUUGCGUUUGAAACUGGCAGGCUAGAGUACUGGAGAGGUGGGCGGAACUACAAGUGUAGAGGUGAAAUUCGUAGAUAUUUGUAGGAAUGCCGAUAGUGAAGACAGCUCACUGGACAGAUUCUGACGCUAAAGCUCGAAAGCGUGGGGAGCGAACAGGAUUAGAAACCCUAGUAGUCC